ACCUACGGGAGGCAGCAGUCGAGAAUUUUUCUCAAUGGGCGAAAGCCUGAAGGAGCGACGCCGCGUGGGGGAUGAAUGGCUUCGGCCCGUAAACCCCUGUCAUUUGCGAACAAAUUGUUUCACCCAACACGUGAAGCAUUGAUAGUAGCGGAAGAGGAAGGGACGGCUAACUCUGUGCCAGCAGCCGCGGUAAUACAGAGGUCCCAAGCGUUGUUCGGAUUCACUGGGCGUAAAGGGUGCGUAGGUGGUCGGUUAAGUCUGAUGUGAAAUCUCGCAGCUCAACUGCGAAACUGCAUUGGAUACUAUCCGGCUUGAGGAAUGGAGGGGAGACUGGAAUACUUGGUGUAGCAGUGAAAUGCGUAGAUAUCAAGUGGAACACCAGUGGCGAAGGCGAGUCUCUGGACAUUUCCUGACGCUGAGGCACGAAAGCCAGGGGAGCAAACGGGAUUAGAUACCCCGGU
rnacentral:rRNA from 1 species